GCUGGGUGCAGUGGUGUGUGCCUGUAGGCCCAGCUACUUGGGAGGCUGAGGUGGGAGGAUCGCUUGAGCCCAGGAGUUCUGGGCUGUAGUGCGCUAUGCCGAUCGGGUGUCCACACUAAGUUUGGCAUCAGUAUGGUGACCUCCCAGGAGUGGGGAACCACCAGGUUGCCUAAGGAGGGGUGAACUGGCCCAGGUCAGAAACGGAGCAGGUCAAAACUCCCGUGCUGAUCAGUAGUGGGAUCAUGCCUGUCAAUAGCCACUGUACUCCGGCCUGGGCAGCAUAGCGAGACCCCAUCUCUA
ensembl:misc_RNA Metazoa_SRP Metazoan signal recognition particle RNA